CUAGAUGAAGAAAAUAUCAAUAUUCUAUUUGGUUGGAUCUAGUAGGCUUAUGGUACUGUAUUAUGGAUAUAGUGCUGAGCACUCAAAAAGAUGUCACAACAGAUUACUGAAUCAUAUUUGCUAUAUAACCAGCACCUUCAGCACCAAGGGAGUUAUCAGCAAGCUUUAGUGAUAUGACAUAUGUGUUUGUCUAUAGCAAAAAAUAAAAGAGGAUGUCCGUACACUUAGUGAAUGUCAACAAAUAUAAUUCACGUGGCA